CCUACGGGUGGCUGCAGUGGGGAAUAUUGGACAAUGGGCGAAAGCCUGAUCCAGCCAUGCCGCGUGUGUGAAGAAGGCCUUCGGGUUGUAAAGCACUUUCAGUGGGGAAGAAAGCCUUGGGGCUAAUACCCUCGAGGAAGGACAUCACCCACAGAAGAAGCACCGGCUAACUCCGUGCCAGUAGCCGCGGUAAUACGGAGGGUGCGAGCGUUAAUCGGAAUUACUGGGCGUAAAGCGCGCGUAGGCGGUCUGAUAAGCCGGUUGUGAAAGCCCCGGGCUCAACCUGGGAACGGCAUCCGGAACUGUCAGGCUAGAGUGCAGGAGAGGAAGGUAGAAUUCCCGGUGUAGCGGUGAAAUGCGUAGAGAUCGGGAGGAAUACCAGUGGCGAAGGCGGCCUUCUGGACUGACACUGACGCUGAGGUGCGAAAGCGUGGGUAGCAAACAGGAUUAAUACCCCAGUAGUC
rnacentral:rRNA from 1 species